rnacentral:misc_RNA from 1 species
GGGGGCUAUUGGUUGAUAUCAACUAUUUCAAGAACCCAGUAAAUGUACUUCGAUUUGCACCUUAUUUUGCGCUUCUUAUUUCUCUACAAGCAAAAUCUAAUAUGGUCGUAAAGUGAACUUUGUCAUUUUCAAACUCAAGUCUGCGGGUUAAAUUUUAAGGAUAUAAUAGUUAGGUUGCAUCAGGAAUAGUCAGAAAUUGAAGAAAAAAGGCAUUCCUAUCUCAAAUUUAGGGGUAGAAAAAUGAGGAAAAAGAAAAAAAGGAGCACACUUCGUGGUUAUCUUUUACUUCAUAUUCCUGGAAUAUAAUCUAAAAGGAAUAAUCAAGCAGAGCACUUGCUUUCAAGUUGUAAUUCCAAGCUUCAGCCGUUGUGAUAGGCCACGAGGGCUCAAAUUGUUGCAAUUUCCAGUAUUAAUUAAUGAAGUGAGCUUUGAUAUCUGAUGUUCACUUGAUUCAUGCUUCCUAUUGUAUUGGAGAUUAUAUAUGGAUUAGAAACACAGGAAAUGGACUUGGCAAAACAAGAUAAAUUAGCUUCAGUUCAUUUAUAUUUACUUCGAUUUAUUACUUUUUACUAAAAUACAGCGAGUAAGAAUUCUUGGACCUUUUUUUUGGUAUUUUGACACUUCAAAGCACUAGGAAACUUAAAUUUAUGGAUGGCAUGAGUUUUCCAGUUGUUGAAUGUUUAUUCUAUUAAUGCUUUGUUCUUGUGAAUGACCUUUUUGGUUUUCCUGUGGAUAGAUGAGGUGCAAUGUCUUGGUUGUUUUUCAAUGAACAUAAAUCCAAUGUGUUUAAGGGUUUCAAAUGGAUUUAAAGCAAGAGCCAAAGCUGCUUCAAAUGCCAAUUUGAAGGCAAUUGAAAUUCCUAGCCAAUGGUACAAUCUCAUUUCAGAUCUUCCCGUGAAACCUCCUCCCCCACUGCAUCCUAAAACUUUUGAACCUGUCAAACCUGAGGAUUUAGCUCCUCUCUUUCCAGAUGAGUUGAUUAAGCAGGAAGCAACCGUUGAAAAAUUCAUAGAUAUCCCAGAAGAAGUUCUUGACAUUUACAGGCUUUGGCGCCCAACUCCAUUAAUUAGGGCCAAGAGGUUGGAGAAACUUCUCGAUACACCAGCCAAAAUUUAUUAUAAAUAUGAAGGUGUAAGCCCAGCUGGAUCACACAAGCCUAACACUGCAGUCCCGCAAGUCUUUUAUAAUGCACAACAAGGCGUCAAGAAUGUUGUGACAGAAACAGGUGCUGGCCAAUGGGGAAGUUCGCUGGCUUUUGCAUGCAGCUUAUUUGGUCUUGACUGUGAGGUGUGGCAGGUUCGAGCUUCUUAUGAUCAGAAACCAUAUCGUAGAUUGAUGAUGGAAACUUGGGGUGCAAAAGUACAUCCAUCUCCUUCAAGCCUUACUGACGCAGGUAGAGAAAUCCUUCAGAAGGAUCCUUCAAGCCCAGGAAGUUUAGGAAUAGCUAUUUCAGAAGCUGUGGAGGUUGCAGCAACAAAUGCUGAUACCAAGUAUUGCCUGGGCAGUGUACUUAAUCAUGUUUUGUUACACCAGACUAUUAUAGGCGAGGAGUGCCUAAAGCAAAUGGAAGCCAUAGGUGAAACCCCUGAUUUGAUCAUAGGUUGUACUGGUGGUGGGUCCAACUUUGCAGGGCUGAGUUUCCCCUUCAUUAGAGAGAAGCUCAGUGGGAAAAUCAACCCUGUCAUAAGAGCAGUUGAACCUACAGCAUGCCCUUCGCUAACAAAGGGUGUUUAUGCGUAUGAUUAUGGUGAUACAGCAGGGCUGACUCCAUUAAUGAAGAUGCAUACACUCGGGCAUGACUUCAUUCCUGACCCUAUUCAUGCUGGGGGCUUGCGAUACCAUGGUAUGGCACCAUUGAUUUCACAUGUCCAUGAAUUGGGUUUCAUGGAAGCAAUUGCAAUUCCUCAGACUGAGUGCUUUCAAGGUGCCUUACAAUUUGCUAGAUCUGAAGGGAUAAUACCUGCACCAGAACCAACUCAUGCAAUUGCUGCCACCAUCAGGGAGGCUAUCCAUUGUAGAGAAACUGGAGAAGCAAAGGUUAUUCUCAUGGCAAUGUGUGGACAUGGCCAUUUUGACCUAACGUCUUACGAAAAGUAUUUGCGAGGAAAUAUGGUGGACUUGUCAUUUGCAGAAGAGAAAAUACAAGCAUCAUUAGCCAGAGUUCCUCAGGUAGCAUGAAGUGAAGCAAACAUGAAAGAUGCUAUGUAAAAUGAACUUUGAGAUGAAAAAGAAUUAGAAGGUGACAAAGUUUCAUAACCGUGAUGCCUGUUUAAAGUUUCAUAAUCGUGAUGCCUGUUUAGCAUUAAGAAUAAUAUUCAGAAUAACGUGAUGCUAAGAAAUGUUUUACGACUUUGCACUUGGUUUUUCAAUUUUUUUAGAGCUAAAAUUUGCGAUUCUGUUGGACAAGUUCUUGGUGAUAAUGACCCAGGAUCCCUUUUACUUGUAACAUUAUGUUAUAUGUAUUUAGUUAAGCAUAGAAUUGCAAAUGUUACACUUUUGAAUAAAGAUAUUACUAUUCUAA